UCUUAGGGGAUUACAUAAGAUCUAAAAGGAUGAUAAACACAGAAUUCUUGGUAAGCAUUUAUACUAACAUUAAGUUGUAUAACAAGGGGCUUAUGCAACUUGCUUAUAUUGAGUAGACGAUCAGGCGCAGUUCUUGGAAGUGCAUUUGAAGGCGAAAGUACAUGCUUGCCCUAUUUCAUGUGUGCCUGACGGAAGAAGUUGCUCCAGCCUGUAGUGAUGGUGGC
rnacentral:lncRNA from 1 species